UUGAACUUUGGAGUUUCUGUUAGAAUUAUUUAUUUGUGUUGAACAUGCUACAUCAUGCUGAUGCAUCAUUGUAUGACAAGAUUUAAAAUCUUUCUUCUAACAUUCAAUAGCUUAAUCCUCACAUACCUUGCUCAUAGGACAUAAUCCUAAUAAGUUCACAGUUGCACUUGACUGCAAAUACAAGGGUGUGCUACAUGACAAAAAAUGAAGAGGAAUGAAAAUUUUCGGACCUAUGAGUAAUAUGUCCCUCAAUUUUCAAUCCAAUUUGUUUAUUCUAUGUAAACUUCAAUUAAGUACAUUGAAAUAGUGACUUAAUAUGUCUCAUAACAGAUUCAAAUACUUCACAGGUUGCCAUGUUAUUAGAUUCAGCAGAUCAUUAACAAAAUCAACCUAGUAAGUGAUAGUUACUUGAUUACUUCCAGAAGCAGGCUAGACGAAAACCUGCAAGACCAACAUCAAAUUUUUUAUAAUGAUUUGUUUACUCACUAGUGCAUAAGACAUGAAAAAAUAUUAUGUUAUUGAUUGAAUAGAACAUACAUUGUGAACUGACAUUAAAAAUCUUAAACAUGUAUAUCAGAGUAACAGAUACUUAAGAUUCCAUCACUUACUUGUGUGUUGGAAGCCAAGCUGAGGUUGCCGUUGAAUGGUUACAGCUACAAGAUCCAUUUUGACUAGGCAUAAAUAGCUGUGUCUUGUAACAAGACUUCAAGAAAGUGGAAUACGUAGGCUAUUUUACUUUCUUGUGUGGUGUGAUUGUGUGAACCAUAUUAAGGUUAAGAAUACAUUCAUAGAGGCUCUGUUCUACCAUUACCUAUUUGUAGUUAACCCAACACGGAUUAUGGCUAAUAGCUACCAGGUAACAGCCAUUGAAGUAUAAAAUACGAAUGGUUUCUUAUGAUUGAUCUAUGUUGUACCUAUAUAUGAUAUUAAUUCAGGAUUAAAUCCGAACUCAUGUUUUUUUUUUUCUUUGUCAACCAAAUUAAGUUUUAUUAGGUAUGGAUACAAGAGGAACCCUUUUACAUGACAACAUAUCAACAUCCAACCAAUUUCCUAAUACCUUAACACCUCCCUGCCCACCUUAAUGCCUUAGCACUUGUCCACCCACCUAAAAGGAAAAAAAUGAGUUGGUGCAUACAUCAAAUGCUGCUUACUUAAAAAGGCAUGACAGAAACAUGCAUCGACUACUACAACCUAUAUUACAUACUUCUCUGUUCAGAUCACACACCUACAAGCACUUGAAACACUCCAAGGGUUCGAUAAUUGACCAUUCAUAAAAGAAAAAAGGAAAAGCCUUUCAUUUUAUUGGACAGUUAAGACCAAGCUCUAAAUUCAAUCAAAACAAACACAAGUACGUUCACCGUUAGGACCCUCAUUUUUUGAAGAUAACGCAAUUUCUAUGCAGCCAAUAGGGACCAAAUUGAGGCAAACCAGAUAAACAAUCAAGCUGUCUUAACUUUCUUAUCAGAGUAAACUAACUUAUAUUUUUUAGAAACAUAAAAAAAAUAAAAUCAAUCUAUUAAUUAAUUUGUAAUUGAAAAAUUAUACUGGUUUUUUAAGAGAAAAAUAAAUGAUAAAAUUUAAAUAACGUACCGACAUGCAUAUUCCCACGCACCAAAUCUUUUCAAGGUCGCGUACAUGUACCAAACCUGUACCGUAACAAGCACCGAAUAGUACCACAAUCUAUGUAACUAUAAUGGUUGGACCUAUAGUAUCACAUGUUAUCGAAUCUUCUACACAUGUGUAAGCUAUGCAAACUUCUCAUUUAAGAUGUUUAAUUCUUGGCUGCAUUGGAGAUCUUACCUCGCCUAGUAAUAUAGUCAAAGUAGAAUAUAUAAGUGAAGAUAAUCCUCAUCUUAUAAGUUGAUUUUGUAGGAUCCAGUUAGAC
rnacentral:lncRNA from 1 species